rnacentral:rRNA from 1 species
UACGGAGGUCUCAAGCGUUGUUCGGAUUCAUUGGGCGUAAAGGGCGCGUAGGCGGCGCGGUAAGUCGGGUGUGAAAUCUCGGAGCUUAACUCCGAAACUGCAUUCGAUACUGCCGUGCUUGAGGACUGGAGAGGAGACUGGAAUUUACGGUGUAGCGGUGAAAUGCGUAGAUAUCGUAAGGAAGACCAGUGGCGAAGGCGGGUCUCUGGACAGUUCCUGACGCUGAGGCACGAAGGUCGGGGGAGCAAACGGG